rnacentral:rRNA from 1 species
AUUGAACGCUGGCGGCGUGCCUAACACAUGCAAGUCGAGCGGUAACGCGGGAGCAAUCCUGGCGACGAGCGGCGAACGGGUGAGUAACGCUUCGGAAUCUACCCAGUAGUGGGGAAUAACCAACCGAAAGGUUGGCUAAUGCCGCAUACGACCUGAGGGUGAAAGGGGGGGAUCGCAAGACCUCUCGCUAUUGGAGCGGCCGAUGUCAGAUUAGGUAGUUGGUGGGGUAAAGGCCUACCAAGCCGACGAUCUGUAGCUGGUCUGAGAGGACGACCAGCCACACUGGGACUGAGACACGGCCCAGACUCCUACGGGAGGCAGCAGUGGGGAAUUUUGGACAAUGGGCGCAAGCCUGAUCCAGCCGUGCCGCAUGCGGGAAGAAGGCCUUCGGGUUGUAAACCGCUUUUGUCAGGGAAGAAACGCUCUGGGAUAAUACCCUGGGGUAAUGACGGUACCUGAAGAAUAAGCACCGGCUAACUACGUGCCAGCCGCCGCCGUAAGAC